GAGUAUGUAGCUUUUAGUCUUAGCUUUGCAAAAGCUAAUGUGAGAUUUAUUAAACCUCCAUGCUUU
rnacentral:tRNA from 3 species